rnacentral:lncRNA from 1 species
CAUAAUCUGAUGCAAAAAUGCAGAAAUCUGGGUCCACCGUCAACCCCGACGGCACCCGACGGUCCAAUACAAUCUAACUCUACUGUAACAGCUCACUCGGCUCCUCCCCGCGAGCGUAACUCAACCUACACUCAUCCGAGUAUCUACCUUGCAUUAACAGUGGUGAUACAGAAAUCUGGAUCCACCGUCAACCCCGACAAUGCCCGACAGUACGAAACAGUCUACACACUACUCUAAAACGAGCUCGGCCUCCUAGCACGAGCGUAACCUCAACCUACAUUA